rnacentral:SRP_RNA from 10 species
GCCUGGCAUGGUGGCAUGCACCCGCAGUCCUAGCUACUCAGGAGGCUGAGGCAGGAGAAUCACUUAGCCCCAGAGUUCUGGGUUGUAGUGCACUAUGUCAAUCAGGUGUCUGCACUAAGUUGCAUGGCAAUAUAGUGACCUCCAAGGGGUGACGGACAAUCAGGUUGCCUAAGGAGGGGUGAACUGGCCCAGGUAGGAAAUAGAGAAGGUGGAAACUUCAGUGCUGAUCAGUGGUGGGAUUAGGCCUGCGAAUAGCCACUGCACUCCAGCCUGGGCAACAUGGCAAGACCCUGUCU